rnacentral:lncRNA from 1 species
AUUCUGCCAGGAAUCCAGCUGACCGAAUUACCCACACUUGCCCACCUUAGGCCUUCAUUCGCAGCAGGCAUGUGUGCCUGGGUUUGUUACCAGCAGCCAUUUUCUCACCCUUAAAUGAGGGAUGGGUCUCCCCUUUUCUUUUUCUCAUUUUCCUAGAGGUUACAAGAUUCCUGUUUUUCUCACCAGGAGGAGAGGUCAGCCUCAGUGAGCUCAUAGCAGUCAUACAUUGCCAGUGUUUUUCCUCAAGUGGAAGGAGAAAGGCCUUCAGAAAAAAAAUCGUAUGCAAACCUAGUGCUACCACCAGCAGUAGCUCUGAAUCGAGAUUUUUGGGAGAAUUAGGCUUACUAAAGAUAAACUACAAUAAGUCUCAAGGAAGCAAAUAAUUCUGAUUCUAAUGAGGAAUCCAAGAAUAAAGGCAGCUCUUAAGGUACGGAAGUGAACUGUCUGUGGGUGACUUGCCUGGAUGCCGGCUAUAGCUGCAGCCCCCAAAGUCGAAGCUACCAGAACAGGUUGGAUGAGGAUGGCCCAAAGAUUAUGGAGUUGCUGGCCCCAAAGCAAGUCAGACACUAUGGGAAGUUUGCAUGAAUCAUGCCCUUGGAUAGACAACCUAAAUCAUACCUCAUCGAGCAUGGAUCCUGGUCAGCAUACCAAGUCAAGGCAAGUAAAGACUGAAGAAAUAUCACCUGGUCUGCAGCUCCCCCCAGAACGAAGUCUGCUACUGAUGGCAGAAGCAUAGAUAGACCAAGGGUAUCACUAUGUAAUGAUGGAAGAAGGAAAAACCCCAUGCAUUCACUCAUGUCUUGAAUCACCUAGAGAAGAGAGGGAAUCUGCCAAAGUGGACACAAUAGAAAUUCAGUUCUAAAUUUGGAGGAAAUGAGGCCCACUCUCAGAUAAGAUGAAAAGUAAAAGCCCUAGGAUCCAAUGGGGUAUUAAACAAAUAUUUAAAAGUA